AGGUGUUAGUGUGGAAAAUUUUCUGAUUUUUGGUUGGGAAACAAAAAGGGCAAAAGAAAAAGAGAAGCCAUGGUCAAUUCCCCCAUUAAUUUGCCUUCUUCCUCACCUUUUAUGGCCAUUUGGCACUCAUGCAAUCAUCACUCUCUUCUUCUUCUUCAGUCAAAUCUAUUACCAAUCCUCACAAUUGCUUCUUCAAGUAAACAAAAUCAGAUUACUUACUUCACCAUCUUCCUCCCAACCACUGAUUUUAACUCCCAAAUUUCUACUAUAAAUAGCCAUGGAAACUCAACAUCAAGAACACACCAACAAUCUUCAUCCCCUCUUCUCUCUCUCUAAUCAGAAAUUCAGUCAAUAAUCGCCGGAAAAUUGUAACUAAAAGAAUAAAAAAAAAAAAAAAAAGAAAGUUAGAACAAAAAAAAAAAAAAAAAAAAAGAAAACCCCAAAUUCAUAAUCUCUCUCCUCUGGUUUCGCCUCCACAACCGGCCACCUGCGCCGCACCAGUCUCGGCCCCAUCUCGUCGUCACUCACCGGUCACCAGCCGCCGUCGGAGCUUCACCAAACCGCCAGCACUCCUCCUCCUCGCGCGCUCUCUCUCUCCUCGCGCUGUCUCUCUCGUCCCUCUUCUUCUUCGCGCGACGCCACUGCACGCGCAGCACCGCUGAGACCCAGCCACCACGCCACGCUGCCGUCGCUUCUCGCUGACCGCCGCUGCUGCUCGCCGUUCACCGGAGCCGACGUCCCACCUCUACCGGAAUUUUCGUCCUCCCUGCUCCUAGUAGCAGAGAUUAAGGAAGAUAAAGGAUAUUACAAGCCUCCCCCGGCUAUCAAGGUUAUUAAGCAGGAAUCCAGGUACCGAUGGUGAUAACGGGAUGGCGUAGCAGUGAGGAUUUAAUUAAUAUCUAGAUUAUCUAGACUCUCAUGGUUUUAAUUUAAGUUUAUGUCAAAACUCUGAUUAGUAACUAAGUUUCUAUUAAUCAAGACUAAUGUUGGAUCUAUAUUAUGCUUCAUGUUAUAAAUGUUUAAGUUUAUGAUUU